GACUGCGAAUCAGGGGGUCGGGGGUUCGAAUCCUCCCC
rnacentral:tRNA from 1 species